GGAGAGGUGGCUCGGUGGUUAAGAGCACUUGUUUUUACAAAGGACCUGGGUUCGAUUCCCAGCAUCCACA
rnacentral:tRNA from 1 species